CACUCCGGUGGACUAGUGGUUAGAGCGCCCUCCUUAAAUGCCGGUGAUCCUGGGUUAAAUCCCCGGCCGAGUCA